rnacentral:lncRNA from 1 species
CAUUCUUGGCACAAUCAGAAAUAAAAUUUUCUGUACAUUUUUUUAUGGGUUACAAUGAACACCUCGUAAUCUUGGACUGAUUUUCCAAGCUCUUUCUCCUAAAAUAAUUUGAAACAAAAAAAAAAUUAAUAAUUGAAGUAACAAAAUAAAUAAUUAGAAAAAUAAAAUAAUUAUAUCAUUCGCCAUCUAGUUCCUUGAAAAUUAAUGGAACUUCCUAUGCGAUUGUUUUAGUCAAUGCUCUUUUUUUUUUGUUCCUCAUAUAUUUUUUAAAAUUUAUUUGAUUGUCAAUGCUCACACAACAUGUUUCGAAUAGACUCUCAAACCCAUUUGAGAUAUUUUAUGAUACGCAUAUCUCGUUGGAAAUCAAAGAGACCAGUAGCACAACUUUUAUAAAAAACAUCCAUCACAUGAAGCCCAUGCUCAACCUUCCACGUACACAAACUCUAUAGAAAACAAAUUCAUUAAAACAAUAUUUAAAAGACACUUAAAAGAAAAAUAAAAAGUUUAAAUAUUUCAUAUAUUAUUACUUACUUUAAAAGCAUAAAAAAUAGAUGUGAAUCAUUCUGAUCUUCGGUCUUUGUUAUUUCAUCCCACAUUUUAAAACGUUUUUUAUACUUUAUUUUAAUACAAUGGUGAUGAUAGUUGCAGAUUCUACCGAAUGAAUAAACAUGUAAAAGUAAAAGUAUUAUAAUAAAUUAAUUAAAUCAUUUAAAGAAUUAUGGGUAAAAAAUUAUGAGAAUAACUACAUGUAAUUAAUUAAAUAAUUACCCUUGACCAAUAGGUGUGAGGACAAUUCGACCAUGGUGAUCAACAUAAACCGUGUCAGAAUGAGUAAGAUUCAUCGUACCAACCUUUCUGUAUACAUGUGGAUGAUUUUCAAUUUCACUUCAAGUGCAUGGGAUGAUGUUUCAAUCAUUGGUGGAGGCACCAAAGUACAGUCGCUCAAAAAAGUAUGAUGAGUCCUACAACGCAUAACUCGUUUUCCCCUCAUUAUAUCAGCUCUACCACUGGUUGGCGACGGAUCAAAUGAUCAUUCUCCUGAUGCCAUGACU